UCCACCAGUAGGUGUUUUGGCUGGAAUAAUCUGUGGCACCAUUGCAGGAAUUGCAUUGAUCGCCUGUGCAACAUUUCUACUGUACAAGAGAUUUAUCCUUCCAGUCAGACAAGGACAGACAGGACAAGCUGAGAGCAAGACUGAUUCAUCGGCAAUGUAUGACAAUGUUAUAUAUGCAACAAAGGAGCAAAACACCACAGUGGAACAGUCAUAUAUGG